ACGAUGACGACAAGCUAAAAAAAAACAAAAAAAAUUAAUAUCCUUCGUAAAAUUGAUUUAUUCCGUUUUAAUUUCGGUCAUUCAGCAAUUAAAUUGAUCAAACGAUACUUUUUUCGGAAUAAUGAGUAACAUAACAUGACGACAACAUUUAUCUAUUUAAAGGCAUUAAUUCAAAAGUGAAAGUGAAAAGACUUUUUCAAGUUUGAGUAUUAUUAUUCCUUCAUUUUAGCUGUCAUAUCUUCAAUAUUAUUGAACUAGUUAUUAUCUCAUGAAAUAGGUAAAUAGUUGGCGACAUGAAAUUAGUCUACAGCUUGAUGCUGUAUGUGUUGUUAUUUUGUUCUCUACUAAUAGAUAUAGUUUUAACGACUUCUUGCCGCAAACCUCCAGUGAUAGAUAGUACUAAUAAUCAAGCUACAUUUGAAAAUAUUUCUUCACGAUUGCUACCUUCAAAAAUUUCAACAUCCUACGAUGCUAAAGGACUGCAAGCUUUUUUUAAUUUAGCAAAUUCUUUUAUGAAUACAGUUCAACCUAAAUCAAUAAGUGAACAAUUUCAAGGUGUUAACUUAAAAGAAUUAUCAAAAGAUGAUAACAAGGCCAAGAUUCUCAAAUAUGAAACACCAAUCUUUGUUGCACUUGGAUUUGGUCUUUUGUUUGUGAUAUUGAUGCCAAUUAUUGGUUUUUGUUUUUGUUGCUGUCGAUGUUGCUGUAACAAAUGUGGGGGUGCAAUGUUUCAAUCAGAGAAAGAAUCAAAAAAAUAUGCAAAGUGCACUAUUAUGUCUUUGUUAUUACUUGUUAUGACAAUAUUAAUGCUAUGUGGUAUACUUUUCAUGUUUGUAACAAAUAACAGAAUCAAUGAAUCAGCAAAAAAUAUUUCAACUGUAUAUAACCAGGCCAUUAAUGAAGCUAUUCAGUUUGCUAAUGCCACUAUUGAUCAAAUAAUUGAAAUCUCUGAUCAAAUUCCAUGCAUAACAUAUCUUGAUAAGCAAGACAUAGGUGAUGAUGGCGUAAAAAAACUUAUUGGAAAUCCUUUGUAUCAAAGUGUUCUAAGCAAUCUUAGUGAUACUAUAAAUAUUUCUUAUAGUUUAAGUCAGAAUGUAUCAAAUAUAUAUGGGUUUUUGCAGAGCAUUAAUUUUUUAAAUAUAUCAUUAAAUGAAGAUGCUGACGAUUUAAAGAAUGGAUUGAAACAGAUUAAAAAAGAAUUAGAUGAUAUAGCUAAUGAUUGCAUAAAUAAUGGGUCAAUACCAAAGGAAACAUGCGAUAGUAUCAACUCAACUGUAGUUUCAAGUAAUGUCGAUUUCACUUCAUUUCCGGAUUUAUCUGACCAAUUAAAGACUUUUAAAUCUGCAACAAGUUUCGAUAUGACAGAAAACAUAAAAUCUACAAUAAUGAAAAUAGAAGACAUUUCAAACACUGUAGUUAACAAAUCAAAGAGUGCAAGAUCAGAUUUAAUUCAAUUAAUAAGUAAAACUGAAGAUCAAGUGCAAGACAUGCUCUACCAGAUUAAUGGAAACAUUACAAAUACAAUCAGCACUACAAAAUCAAAAUUACUCACUUUUGAAAACAAUUACUUUCGGUCCAAUUCUGAAGCAUUUAAAUAUGAAAACUACAGGUAUUAUGUUUACAUUGGAAUUUCAUCUGUUGUUGGAUUUAUUUUUGUUUUAAUGGCUCUUGGUUUACUGUGUGGGUGUUGUGGUUAUAAAAAGAAUGUAAGUCCAACUCAUCGGUCAUCAGCAUCUAAUUGUGGUGGUAAUUUUUUAAUGGCAUCUGUUGGAUUUAUGUUUAUCUUUUCUGCUAUCUUGAUGAUGUUUUGUGUGGUAUGGUUUGCGGUUGGAAUGCAUUUACACAUUGUAUGUCGUGAUGUUCAUGAUGGAAUUCUAUUUGAUAGUUUUUUAUCUGAUCAACUUAUUAUUGAAGGAAAAAAAAUUUCUGUUAAACUUUUGCUUUCACAUUGCCGUUCAAAUGCCCCUAUAUAUAAAGCAUUAAAUGUGGAAAAUAUAUACAAUAUUUCAAAAGAACUUAAUAUUAAAGAUAAAACAGGAGAUUUAAAUUCAAAAUUAAAUAGUUUAUCCUUCGAUUUAAAUGAUCUAAACAUUUUAUCUGAUAAAUUAAAAGAAAUUUUGAAUGAUCUUGCUGAUAGCAAUACAGAGACAGUCAAUUAUACUUCUUUUUUAUCAAUGAUCAAUGAAAAAAUCACUGAUUCAAAUCUUGCUCUUGCAGCAUUAAACUUAACUAACUAUGCUAAAAAUUUAAGUAGUUACAACAGUAUUGCAGAGAAACUUCGAAAUAUUUCAUCACGAUUAAUUGAAAUUGACAAUACAGUUGUUUCAAACAUCAAAAAUAAUCUGAAAAAUCUCGAAAGCAAUGUUACAGCACUAAAGAGUACAUCAUAUCAUUUUAAGGAAACAAUAUUAGAUUUACUUAAGAGGUAUAAUCAAUCUGAUGCGUUUAUCAAGAAUGAAGGAGAAUACAUCAUUAAACAUUUAAUAAGUAAUUAUUCUACUCGAUUAAUUGGAUGGUUAGAUCAGGGCUCUACUCAUCUUGUUGUCCAGGUUAAAUCAAAUAUGCUUAAAUGUGGACCAAUAGCAAAUUUGUAUGAUGGCGUUAUCAACACCUAUGUUUGUAGUGAUAUUGUUCAAAAUGUGAAUGGCUUUUGGCUGGCAUUAGGGUGGUGUCUUCUAUUUUUUGUGCCAUGCAUUAUACUUAGUGUGAAGUUGGCAAAGUUUUAUAGAAAAAUGAAUUAUGGUAGCAGUCUUGACAAGCACGUCCAACCUCCAUUCAACGAAAGCUAUCCAAUGGAGUAAGUUGGUUUUGUAGAGUGCGUUCUUCAGUGCAUGACCAAACCUCUCUGAUGGAAAACAAUUGGUCUCACACUGAUGCUCCUCCGCCUUAUUCGAAUAACCAAUUCACUCCAAGAUAUAAUUCUGGUUAUCAUUAUUAAAAUCUAUACACAUGUAAAGUGUAUAUAUACAUAUAUAAAAAGAUUUUAUCAUAA
rnacentral:misc_RNA from 1 species